rnacentral:rRNA from 1 species
CUGCAUGGCUGUCGUCAGCUCGUGUCGUGAGAUGUUGGGUUAAGUCCCGCAACGAGCGCAACCCUCACUUUUAGUUGCCAUCGUUUAGUUGGGCACUCUGAAAGAACUGCCAGUGAUAAGCUGGAGGAAGGUGGGGAUGACGUCAAGUCCUCAUGGCCCUUACGUGUUGGGCUACACACGUGCUACAAUGGCAUUUACAACAGGAAGCAAAACGUCGACGUUAAGCAAAUCCUAAAAAAAUGCCUCAGUUCGGAUUGUACUCUGCAGCUCGAGUACAUGAAGCUGGAAUUACUAGUAAUCGCAGAUCAGCGCGCGCGGUGAAUACGUUCCCGGGUCUUGUACCAACAAUC